rnacentral:lncRNA from 1 species
UAAGCUCUUUUGUGAUUCGACACAAUGCUGGCUAAGAAGAAUUCUGCUCUGUUGCCUUGUAUGAGAUGCAUAUGCUGAUGCUUAUCGAAAGAUGCAUUUCCUUUUUUUUUUUGUAGUGCUCUAAACCAUUGCCUACUUGUUGCCUGACUUGGGAACUGUGUAUCACCACUGAAACCAACCCUAAACUUGACCUUUAAAUUAAAUGAACAAGUAGUUAAGUGAUUUACAUUGUCUAUGCAAUCUGAUUCUAUGACUUGAUCAUGUGGCCAGGAUAUGGUUCUUGAUGCUGGUUUCUGAUUUACUUGGUGUUUAUACUAGCUGUCACUUCUUAGUCAAUGUUAUCCACAUGUUGCUUUAUUUUUGGUAUGCCCAUUGGGUUUUUGUCUCGGCUGGGCUAUGUGCUGAGCGUUGGCUUUGAGGGCUGAAAUAGAUUGUAAGAUGUGUCUUUCAAGUUAACUUGUGUGCUUGGUUUGGUCGACUUAAUCAACCUCAACCUUAAACCUGGCUUGUAUUCAAUGUGGGCUGAAUCUGGAGCUUGACUUGUUUCUUAAACCAGAUUUCUAUUUAGUGUUGAGCUUCUAUUUACUGGUUGCACUUGUUGGUCUAGUAGAUAAAAGUGAUUAAUCUUUUGCGAUUCAACACAAUAAAUUUCUGGUGUUGGCUGUUUGAAAUGUAUGUGCUGCUGCUUAUUUAUCUAGCUAGCUAGUUUGUUUAUGGUGCCACGUUGGCAUGUAAACAGCUUUAAAUCCAUCAGCCUGGUAGCGUUUGUGCUCCUGCAAAUUGCUUCAGCAAGUGCUUAUCUGAACCAGUAAUGUUCCUUGUGUUCAUCUCUAGAUAGAGUAUCUCCAGAUUAUUGAGAUUUGAUCUGCUAUGCUACUUUUUUUUUUGGCGGGUGAUGCUACUGUUUUAUUACAGGUUCGUUUUUGGAUCAAGUCGGUGCUUUUGGAGAAUGAGAUGGUUGUGAGGACUAAAAGGAACAAGGGCUUGACAUGCCUCGCUCGCCUACUGUCUAUGCGUCUCAUCGCCUCCGGCUGCUUGGGGGUCCAAGUUCUCGCAGCCGCAGCUGCUGCUGCUGCUUUGGCUGUGGCCUAUAUAAUGUUUUGGUCCUGGUAAUGUCAAGUAGUCGUUGCACAUGGUGGUAGCAUCGUUCUUGUGAUGCUCCAGGUUCAGGGCCCCAUCUUAUUCUAACUUGUAAAGAAAGAAUCUUGCUAUGAUGGAUCGAUGUUGUUGAAUCAGUUCACCAUCGGAAUAUGAACCUGCUCAUCAUAUUAUUGGCAAACGCGUACUCAUCUUGUGGCAAUCCAAUGUGAUUCG